CUAAAAUGCAGACGCGGAGGGACAUUACCGAGUUUACAACUCCCAAACCCCUGUGAACAUACCUAUACGUUGCCUCGGCGGAUCAGCCCGCGCCCCGUAAAACGGGACGGCCCGCCCGAGGACCCCUAAACUCUGUUUUUAGUGGAACUUCUGAGUAAAACAAACAAAUAAAUCAAAACUUUCAACAACGGAUCUCUUGGUUCUGGCAUCGAUGAAGAACGCAGCAAAAUGCGAUAAGUAAUGUGAAUUGCAGAAUUCAGUGAAUCAUCGAAUCUUUGAACGCACAUUGCGCCCGCCAGUAUUCUGGCGGGCAUGCCUGUUCGAGCGUCAUUUCAACCCUCAAGCUCAGCUUGGUGUUGGGACUCGCGGUAACCCGCGUUCCCCAAAUCGAUUGGCGGUCACGUCGAGCUUCCAUAGCGUAGUAAUCAUACACCUCGUUACUGGUAAUCGUCGCGGCCACGCCGUAAAACCCCAACUUCUGAAUGUUGACCUCGGAUCAGGUAGGAAUACCCGCUGAACUUAAGCAUAUCAAAAAGCCGGGAGAAA
rnacentral:rRNA from 1 species